UACGUAGGGUGCAAGCGUUAAUCGGAAUUACUGGGCGAAAGCGUGCGCAGGCGGUGAUGUAAGACAGGUGUGAAAUCCCCGGGCUUAACCUGGGAACUGCAUUUGUGACUGCAUCGCUGGAGUGCGGCAGAGGGGGAUGGAAUUCCGCGUGUAGCAGUGAAAUGCGUAGAUAUGCGGAGGAACACCGAUGGCGAAGGCAAUCCCCUGGGCCUGCACUGACGCUCAUGCACGAAAGCGUGGGGAGCGAACAGG
rnacentral:rRNA from 1 species